AACCAACACCUCAAGUGGUCAGGAUGAUUAUUGGGGCCUAAAGCAUCCGUAGCCGGCUUUGUAAGUUUUCGGUUAAAUCCAUGCGCUCAACGUAUGGGCUGCCGGCAAUACUGCAAAGCGAGGGAGUGGGAGAGGUAGACGGUACUCGGUAGGAAGGGGUAAAAUCCUUUGAUCUAUUGAUGACCACCUGUGGCGAAGGCGAUCUACCAGAACACGUCCGACGGUGAGGGAUGAAAGCUGGGGGAGCAAACCGGAUUAGAUACCCGGGUAGUCCCAGCUGUAAACUAUGCAAACCCAGUGAUGCAUUGGCUUGAUGCCAAUGCAGUGCUGCAGGGAAGCCGUUAAGUUUGCCGCCUGGGAAGUACGUACGCAAGUAUGAAACUUAAAGGAAUUGGCGGGGGAGCACCACAAGGGGUGAAGCCUACGGUUCAAUUGGAGUCAACGCCAGAAAUCUUACCCGGAGAGACAGCAGAAUGAAGGUCAAGCUGAAGACUUUACCAGACAAGCUGAGAGGUGGUGCAUGGCCGUCGCCACACUCGUGCCGUGAGAUGUCCUGUUAAGUCAGGUAACGAGCGAGAUCCCUGCCUCUAGUUGCCACCACUACUCUCAGGAGUAGUGGGGCGAAUUACGCGGGACCGCCGUAGUUAAUACGGAGGAAGGAAGGGGCCACGCCAGGUCAGUAUGCCCCGAAACUAUGGGGCCACACGCGGGCCGCAAUGGUAACGACAAUGUGUUCCGAAUCCGAAAGGAGGAGGUAAUCCUCAAACGUUACCCCAGUUAUGACUGAGGGCUGCAACUCGCCCUCACGAAUAUGGAAUCCUUAGUAACUGCGUCUCACUAUCGCGCGGUGAAUACGUUCCUGCUCCU
rnacentral:rRNA from 1 species